GUAGGUGAACCUGCGGAAGGAUCAUUACAGAGAAUAUCGCCCUCACGGGUGACUCUCCAACCCUAUGUUAUUGUACCUUUGUUGCUUUGGCGAGCCGCUUCGGCCACCGGCUCGCGCUGGUGAGUGCUCGCCAGAGGACCCCAAACUCUGAAUUAUUAGUGUCGUCUGAGUACUAUAUAAUAGUUAAAACUUUCAACAACGGAUCUCUUGGUUCUG
rnacentral:misc_RNA from 1 species